GACUGUGGACCUUUUCACAAUGUUUGGAAACAAUAAGGGACUGGGUAUUUUUGGGUAUCGGAAAGUGAAUCACUUUUACGGAGGGGGUGUCAGACAAAUCUUAUCGCGCUUGAGGUUAUGCUGCCAGAUAUAGCCCAACAGGUCUAUUUCUAUUUUAAACUUCAGAAGCAAAAAGUACUUCACGUUUAGUUGUAGUAAAAGGACAGAGCGUUAGCCAAACCGCCAUCGUGGCUAGCAUGCUAGGAGACAAAAGCAUGCUGCCAGAUAUAGCCCAACAGGUCUAUUUCUAUUUUAAACUUCAGAAGCAAAAAGUACUUCACGUUUCGUUGUAGUAAAGGGACAGAGCGUUAGCCAAAC